GACAUUCAUAUAUUUGUUUAUUGCAGCAUAUUAAAGACAACACAGUUGCAUGUGUCUACUAAUCUUGUCAUUUUAUAGAUUUUAAUAACAUUUUUAUUUUAAUAACCUGUAUUCACCGAACAACCGUCACUGAAUGAUGAAAUUAUAACUAUUUUGUAACAAAUAAAGUUUCAGUAUACAUUUAGAAGUAUUAUAAAUGGGUCAAAUAUAGACCUGGGCCUUAUGGCAUAAAGUCCUGGUAACCUAAUGAUCUGUAACUGUUUAACAGCAAUGGAGCUCAUUUGGAAAGAAUCAAGUGUGGUGUAACUACACAUAAUGUAACAUCAUUACUUCAAUAGGCCACUAACAUUUAUAGCAACAUAACCCUGCAUUCUACUUAUAACACAUCUGUAAAAUUAAGUUAACCCUUCAGUAUUGCUGUCACCCAGAGGUCUCACUGUGCUAUAAGUCAAAGUGAAUCCAGUGAUGAAAAAAAUCACAAUGCGCAGCACAACACAUCUUCUGUAUUAAAUUCAAAUUCUGUUCAUCUCAAGUAUCAGCCCUGCUGUAAGCGGAAUUGUGCUUUCAUGUAGGUGGGUAACAGACUAUGUAAGGGAUGUAAAGUAUGUGUGGAUCAGAAGAAAAAUUAUUUGUGAUUGACUGUGUUUGACCAGAACCAAACCCGUACCAAGUGUGGCUUUUAUGUUACCUGAGUCACAUUCAGUACGAACAAAUGGGAGAAAGCGUUUUUGAAAACAAGAACGAGCAUACUUGUAGGACUAGCCCAGGUUUUACCGCCUCCGUUUCUAAACACAGUCUUCCAUUUUGUUCCAACUGAAAGCAGCCCUGUUCAUGGCUUGUUUCUGAGCGUCAGACAAAUCCUCCAAACCUGCUUUGCCAUUCCCACACACUCUGUGGUACAGUAUACUGCAUCCGGGCUGUAACAUUCCCACAUACUCUGUGGUACAGUAUACUGCAUCCAGGCUGUAACAUUCCCACACACUCUGUGGUACAGUAUACUGCAUCCGGGCUGUAACAUUCCCACAUACUCUGUGGUACAGUAUACUGCAUCCAGGCUGUAACAUUCCCACACACUCUGUGGUACAGUAUACUGCAUCCGGGCUGUAACAUUCCCACAUACUCUGUGGUACAGUAUACUGCAUCCAGGCUGUAACAUUCCCACACACUCUGUGGUACAGUAUACUGCAUCCGGGCUGUAACAUUCCCACAUACUCUGUGGUACAGUAUACUGCAUCCAGGCUGUAACAUUCCCACACACUCUGUGGUACAGUAUACUGCAUCCAGGCUGUAACAUUCCCACACACUCUGUGGUACAGUAUACUGCAUCCGGGCUGUAACAUUCCCACAAUGAGUAAUAGUACAAGAAUGGUGCAGUAAUAGUAAAGGCCACUCUUAAAGUUAAGGACCACAGGCAGUUGUCAUUAAUGGCCUAACUUGAUUGGAUGCAUAAAUAUCAAAACCUUUGGUCCAUAAUCCUGGAUUUUAUACAGCAAAGCAGCGCUUAGGUAAAUACCUGCUCAAGAAUGUCAUUCUAACAUGACUAAACUAGUUUAGUUGCCAGCAUACAAUAGACAAAUUUGGCAGUUUAAUAAUUACAGUAAUAAUUUAAUAAUCUACUAUAUAUAUAUAUAUAUAUAUAUAUAUAUAUAUAUAUCAGGGCUGGGCAAACAUUUCAAUCCGGCACACGGGAGUUUGGAGUAAAACCCUUUUAUUUUGUUUUGGGGACGGGGGUAAAAACCUCCAGGUCACACUUGAACGUCUAAAACUAGAUAGAAAGUAUGUAGAAAUGAUAACGGACCUAAAUAUUUUCAAGUUACUGCCCUUUUUCUGACCCGCAAAUAGGUUUUGACAAACAAAACAAAACAAAAACAAAACAAAUCUGUGCGACCCUUCGUUGAAUUUCCAAAAUCCCAAUGUGGCCCUCAAGCCAAGAAGUUUGCCCACCUCUGUUAUACAUGCUGUCUGGACGGAUGAAGGAUAGUGAUAGCCCCACAGAGAGUGAGACAUGCACACUGGCUCAGGUAAAUUAAAGUGGUGUGGUGGAGAAAGUGGUGUGGUUGUGUGCAGUGCACAGAGCCAGACCCCAGUAGUUAGGCACCAUUUCUCUACUCCAGGGACCUGGCAAACUCGGCGUAGUCUAUGUACCCGUCGUUGUUUUUGUCAUUGUCCCUCAGAACAUCAUCUAUAAGGCUUGUGAGGUCCUCCUCUUUCAUAGGCUGGCUAUCCUCACCUUUUUCCUGCAGAAAAUAUGGAAACAUGGAAGUGCACAUGUGUAUAGGUGAAUAAAGUACAUACAGUAUGUGGCAUCAUUGGCUGAUAAUAUCAUUUUUUUUAUAUAUUAUGUUUUUCCUUUCACACAUACCUCUUUGUGUACAUGAGUGAUGGCUGUGGCCAACUCCAGCCCAUCCAGUAAGUUGUUGCCGUCAUAAUCGUGCAUCUUAAAGUAGUGCAACUGCAGCUCCUGCGGCGACAUAUCCGACUCCGGCUUGUCAAUCACACCUUCCAGAUGCUCCAUGAUGUGUCUUAGAGGACAUAGGAGAGACACUGCUCAGUGCAUUAACCAUGCACACACUGUCAGUCAAAUUAUAGGUAAAGCUUGGAAUAGAGCAAACUAUAUAGACAGAUAGAUAGAUAGAUAGAUAGAUAGAUAGAUAGAUAGAUAGAUAGAUAGAUAGAUAGAUAGAUAGAUAGAUAGAUAGAAUCUAUCUGUCUGUACUUGUCCAAUAAGAAACGUUUGCUUCUUCUUCUGUUGCAAAGCAUUUAAGCGCAGAAUAUCCUAAUGAACACAACCCUUUACUCACUCUCUGUCAUGGACCAUGUUCUUGUCCAGGUGCAUGUUAGGACGGUGACUCUCCGGUGGGUGUUCGUGGGCUGCCUGCUCAUGGGAACGAACAGACAGCAGAAAGCAGGAGACCAGGAGUAGCCAGCCCCACGCCACGCUCCUCCUGCUACUUACUCUUAACACCAUUCUGGGCUGUACAGUAACUACACAGAUACAGACACAGACAGAGAGCGUGAGCAAGGGACAGAAUUUUAACAACAAAGUUAAUCAAAGCUGAAUAAUAUGAACAAUGGUUGCAAGCAAGGUGAAGGCACAGAACAGCCAGUGUCACUCGUCACUGAAUGGCAAGAGCUUCCACUAGAAAUAGGUGAUCCAUCUAUGAACCCAUAUGUUAACUUUUGGAAACACAUACAUGACAGAAGAAUCAGAAGAUUGAUCAAAUGGAAUUGAAUUAUUUUCAGGCAAUAAUAGCUUCAUUGUUUUCAGUGAUAUAUUAUUAUAUGUACAGUUCAGAAUACAAUCUAGCUAGUGAUGUUGUUGAUAGACACAUGGCUGGCUAAAGUUAAUUAUACUUGCACCUAGUUGGUUUAAGGACAGCAGUUAGUUUAGCAAGAUCAUUAAUAUGGUGAUAACAAGCACACCGUAAUGGAUCUACAGCGAUAUGAACGAUUAAAAUGCAUACUCA
rnacentral:lncRNA from 1 species